rnacentral:rRNA from 1 species
CCUACGGGCGGCAGCAGUGGGGAAUAUUGGACAAUGGGCGAAAGCCUGAUCCAGCCAUGCCGCGUGUGUGAAGAAGGCCUUCGGGUUGUAAAGCACUUUCAGUGGGGAAGAAAGCCUUGGGGCUAAUACCCUCGAGGAAGGACAUCACCCACAGAAGAAGCACCGGCUAACUCCGUGCCAGCAGCCGCGGUAAUACGGAGGGUGCGAGCGUUAAUCGGAAUUACUGGGCGUAAAGCGCGCGUAGGCGGUCUGAUAAGCCGGUUGUGAAAGCCCCGGGCUCAACCUGGGAACGGCAUCCGGAACUGUCAGGCUAGAGUGCAGGAGAGGAAGGUAGAAUUCCCGGUGUAGCGGUGAAAUGCGUAGAGAUCGGGAGGAAUACCAGUGGCGAAGGUGGCCUUCUGGACUGACACUGACGCUGAGGUGCGAAAGCGUGGGUAGCAAACAGGAUUAGAUACCCCAGUAGUC